GACGAACGCUGGCGGCGUGCCUAAUACAUGCAAGUAGAACGCUGAAGGAGGAGCUUGCUUCUCCGGAUGAGUUGCGAACGGGUGAGUAGCGCGUAGGUAACCUGCCUGGUAGCGGGGGAUAACUAUUGGAAACGAUAGCUAAUACCGCAUAACAGUAGAUGUUGCAUGACAUUUGCUUAAAAGGUGCAAUUGCAUCACUACCAGAUGGACCUGCGUUGUAUUAGCUAGUUGGUGAGGUAACGGCUCACCAAGGCGACGAUACAUAGCCGACCUGAGAGGGUGAUCGGCCACACUGGGACUGAGACACGGCCCAGACUCCUACGGGAGGCAGCAGUAGGGAAUCUUCGGCAAUGGACGGAAGUCUGACCGAGCAACGCCGCGUGAGUGAAGAAGGUUUUCGGAUCGUAAAGCUCUGUUGUAAGAGAAGAACGAGUGUGAGAGUGGAAAGUUCACACUGUGACGGUAGCUUACCAGAAAGGGACGGCUAACUACGUG
rnacentral:rRNA from 1 species